GCGGCGAGCGAACGGGGAGGAGCCCAGAGCCUGAAUCAGUGUGUGUGUUAGUGGAAGCGUCUGGAAAGGCGCGCGAUACAGGGUGACAGCCCCGUACACAAAAAUGCACAUACUGUGAGCUCGAUGAGUAGGGCGGGACACGUGGUAUCCUGUCUGAAUAUGGGGGGACCAUCCUCCAAGGCUAAAUACUCCUGACUGACCGAUAGUGAACCAGUACCGUGAGGGAAAGGCGAAAAGAACCCCGGCGAGGGGAGUGAAAAAGAACCUGAAACCGUGUACGUACAAGCAGUGGGAGCACGCUUCGGCGUGUGACUGCGUACCUUUUGUAUAAUGGGUCAGCGACUUAUAUUCUGUAGCAAGGUUAACCGAAUAGGGGAGCCGAAGGGAAACCGAGUCUUAACUGGGCGUUAAGUUGCAGGGUAUAGACCCGAAACCCGGUGAUCUAGCCAUGGGCAGGUUGAAGGUUGGGUAACACUAACUGGAGGACCGAACCGACUAAUGUUGAAAAAUUAGCGGAUGACUUGUGGCUGGGGGUGAAAGGCCAAUCAAACCGGGAGAUAGCUGGUUCUCCCCGAAAGCUAUUUAGGUAGCGCCUCGUGAAUUCAUCUCCGGGGGUAGAGCACUGUUUCGGCAAGGGGGUCAUCCCGACUUACCAACCCGAUGCAAACUGCGAAUACCGGAGAAUGUUAUCACGGGAGACACACGGCGGGUGCUAACGUCCGUCGUGAAGAGGGAAACAACCCAGACCGCCAGCUAAGGUCCCAAAGUCAUGGUUAAGUGGGAAACGAUGUGGGAAGGCCCAGACAGCCAGGAUGUUGGCUUAGAAGCAGCCAUCAUUUAAAGAAAGCGUAAUAGCUCACUGGUCGAGUCGGCCUGCGCGGAAGAUGUAACGGGGCUAAACCAUGCACCGAAGCUGCGGCAGCGACACUAUGUGUUGUUGGGUA
rnacentral:rRNA from 1 species